rnacentral:snoRNA from 1 species
UGAUCUAUCAAAAUUAAACUAUCUAAAUUACAUUUUUUAAAAAAAAUCUCAAAUGAGGAAAAUCUGAACAAAAUGAGUGAGAACUCACUACCGUCUCCUCAUCGAAACUGAGGUCC